rnacentral:rRNA from 1 species
AGCUCCAUUAGCGUAUAUUAAAGUUGUUGCAGUUAAAAAGCUCGUAGUUGGAUUUCAGUACGGGCCAGUCGGUCGGCCGCAAGGCCUGCUACUGGCUGGUCUGUUCUUCUUCUCAAAGACUGCGUGUGCUCUUCGCUGAGUGUGCGUAGGAUUUGGGACGUUUACUUUGAAAAAAUUAGAGUGUUCAAAGCAGGCUUUCGCUUGAAUACAUUAGCAUGGAAUAACAUGAUAGGACUCCGAUCCCAUUGUGUUGGUCUUCGGGACUGGAGUAAUGAUUAAGAGGGACAGUUGGGGGCAUUCGUAUUUCAUUGUCAGAGGUGAAAUUCUUGGAUUUAUGAAAGACGAACUUCUGCGAAAGCAUUUGCCAAGGAUGUUUUCAUUAAUCAAGAACGAAAGUAGG